rnacentral:rRNA from 1 species
CCUACGGGUGGCUGCAGUGGGGAAUAUUGCACAAUGGGCGCAAGCCUGAUGCAGCCAUGCCGCGUGUGUGAAGAAGGCCUUCGGGUUGUAAAGCACUUUCAGCGGAGAGGAAGGCGGUGAGGUUAAUAACCUCAUCGAUUGACGUUACCCGCAGAAGAAGCACCGGCUAACUCCGUGCCAGCAGCCGCGGUAAUACGGAGGGUGCAAGCGUUAAUCGGAAUUACUGGGCGUAAAGCGCACGCAGGCGGUCUGUCAAGUCGGAUGUGAAAUCCCCGGGCUCAACCUGGGAACUGCAUUCGAAACUGGCAGGCUAGAGUCUUGUAGAGGGGGGUAGAAUUCCAGGUGUAGCGGCGAAAUGCGUAGAGAUCUGGAGGAAUACCGGUGGCGAAGGCGGCCCCCUGGACAAAGACUGACGCUCAGGUGCGAAAGCGUGGGGAGCAAACAGGAUUAGAUACCCCAGUAGUC